UAUAUAUAUAUUUUAGGUUUAUCGAGGGUGAACUUAGGACCCGGGGCCUCAGCGGACGAGGGGGCGGAGUUACGUAUGAUUGACAGAAUAUUCUGGAGGCACGGCAAGCGAGUAAUCUGGCAAGCUGACCGCAGCCACACAACGAGACAACCGACGAAUUUCAGCGAAAUUCUGACCCGAACCGGGAUUUACAUCGCGUUUUGAUGCCAAAACAUCAGUCAGAAAGUGCCACCAAUGGACUUCAAUCAUUGACGAUCUCAUUUGAGAGCUGAUAAUGAUGAAGAUGAAGCUGCGUACGGCGGGAGGCGAAAAUCACCGAUGCGACUUGAGUUUGGUUAACGGAACCGAUCGCUCGGGUUGUCGGGAGGGCGGCACCGGAGCGCCUCCACUCGAUAAGGAGACUGUGUUCGAGUGGUUCGGCUUACGGCUGAACCCUGCCGGACGUAUCGAGCUGCUCUGCGGGCUGCUGCAUAUGUGUCAGCCGCUGGAGCUGCGUUUCCUCGGCGCCUGUCUAGAGGAUCUGGCCCGAAAAGACUUCACCUUCCUGCGGGACUUCGAGACCCGGGCCAACUUCCCCGCGGAUCUAGAGGGGCUGGUGGACGUGGGCGACCCCGUGGUGCUGUCCAAGCUGCUCGUUUAUUUGUCCCUCCUCGGAUCCAAGAGCAGGGAAUGUGCCGGGAUAUUAUUCAGGACCCUGAGCCGAAUAAACGCGGGGAUGUGCGGGGCUCUACCGGAGCCGGAUACGGUUGACCAGCUGCGGCUGCUCUACACGAUGGGCUCGUUACACCCGGCGUUCAGCUUUCAUCAGCGGGAAGAGCUGCGAGCGCAGCUGGAAAGACUCCAGGGAUGGAUUCAGUUUUCCAGUCCCGGGUUCCUCUGUCCACACCAGGAGAAUGAAGUGGACUGGACUCUAUGCAGCGAUCCCAAUCCGCACCUCAGCAGCAGGUCACAGAGAGAAGUGGUGCACAUUGAAAAGAUCAUUCUGAAGGAGAUUUCUGUGGCAGGAGAUGGCAGGCAGUACACUUUUGAGGUAAAAUGGUCAGACGCUUCAUCGACCACUGUCAGCAAAAGUCAUUGUGAAUUAGAGGACUUUCUGUUAAAGCUUCCUAAGGAGCAGAGCCCUGAUGGCUUUGAGAAAAGCAUUGUCAGGAUAUUAAGUCGAGCAGAUCAAUGUGAGUCCAGAGAACUGGAGAGAAAUCUCAGGGAGAAGUUUUUGUCUUUAUCACAGGAGGUUCUCAAGAGGUGUGACGUCUCCACGUUCUUCAUGUCUGAUCCAUCUUUACGGCCCUGCAGUCACUGUACCAGAGCACCUGUAUCCAGAAUCCAUCAGCCUGCACGUGGUUUCUCUGAAGACUGCUCGGAGACCUCCAGUCUGGAAGAGGACGUGGAGGGUUACAGAGUCAGAGCCACGGGUUUGAGUCAUCAGCAUUCAGAAAGCCAGAGAAGAGGAAACUGUGAGCAGAACGGAGAGAGAGUUUGGAUGAAAGAAAGCGAACUAGAACAGAGCUGCACAAAUGACAGAAGAAUCCCGACGCCCGGACCAAAGAGCAAAGGGAGAUCUGCUAGCAAAAGGGAGCGAGGCCGAAGGGUGACCAGCGCAAAGAGUUCUUCUGCAACACUCGUGAUCAACCAGACGGCUUGCAAAGACACUGGAAGGGUCAGAUAUGGAGAUACAUCCUCGGAUAGCUCCAACUCCGUGCCAUCAAGUCCUGUUCACCACAAGAGCCUGGAGGAGCAAGAUACAGAGAGUCAAUCCGACAACUCGGCUCAGGAACCGUCUGAAAAAAGUCACCUUGCCAAAAGCAUUGGCGGGAAAGCGGUUGCCAUGGUGAAUCCGUUAGUCGCCGAGCCACAGAACGUCCCGCAGCCUCCUUCGAUGGUAGAGCUGACCGCUCGCUUCCCCUGCGGCCUGCAGUACAACCCGACCCAGAGAGACGCCAGCGAGGGCAAGAUAACCAUAACCAUCCCGCUGGUCAGAGACGCGGUAACGUCUGCCAGCACACAGACACAGCAGCAACCCCCGCCGGGACCUCUGCAGCCCGGAAACAGCACUGCCAGCAAUCCUAUCAAAACAAAUGCCAAGGCUUCCAACAAUGCCACCCCUUCCAGCGCAAGCUCCUGCCCUCUCUCUACAGGACCUUGUGCCACGAGCGUGCACGCCCCGGGGCCGGCACCCCUGCCGCCCACCGCCGCCACCGCUCAGAGCGAUUCCUUGUCUUACAUCAACAGCCCAAACCCGCCGGUCACGGCGCAGACGCAUGCCAGCGGGACGCAGCAGCAGGGGGGCUGCAACACGUGCGGCUGCCGCGGUAGUUGCGGCGGAAACGUCGCGCAUCAGACGCUAGGCUACUUCCUGCCUCCCCAACACGCUCGUCAGAUGUUUGUUCCCCCACCUACGUUCUUCAACCUCCCGCCUUCAAGUUUCCCCGCCCAGGGCCACCAGAAUAACGGGACGCCUUUGACGUUUUACUCUCCCGGGGCUUUUCUUCACCCUCAUUCGGACCACAUGUUGGCCACGCAGGCGGGUUACAAUCUGCCCCAAAUGCAGCAUUUUCGACGCUUCUACCAACCUCAACCCAUCUUUUCGCCGGUCGGCCUGCUGUCGGGUGGAAACAACGUGAAGAAGGUCACCAACGCUUCCUGUUACAACUGCGGAAAGACCGGACAUUACGCCCCGGAGUGCAAGCAGCCGUCCAUCGAUGCCGGACUGACAGGUAACAUCAGGGUCUGGAGAUGAUGAUGAUGAUGAUGUUUUAGGUCAGAAACAUAUUCUACCUAAAGAAACAAACACGGAUGUGGGUUCCGGCUAAAGUACGUCGGCCCGAACUCCUCAGAUGUGGUAGACAAAAAUGAUUGACAGCAAGCAGAGGACCAUAACCUGACAGCCACGAUUUCCAGUGAUGCAUACAUUCACGCUCGUAUUAGCAUCCUAAAAAAGAGAGCCGAGAGGAAGAGUUUUGGACGCGCUGACAAGUCGACAGUGUUUACUUUAAACUGAGCUUCUCUUACACACACAUUCUCCUUUUAUUGUGUUAUAAAUGGAAUAAGGCGGCUGGCUAAUAGUUGAUUUGUUUUAGGUUAAGUAUAAAUACUUUUUUAUGCAAACUCAUGUCGUCAGUGAUGGACACGAAUAGGAAAACUGAAACUUGAGUCCUUUAGUGCAGUAUUUGGUUAUUUUAUUGAGAAAGAGAAGAUAAAAUACUGUAUGCUAAUAUUUCGUAAGUUCUUAUUUUGUUACGGCUUAUAAUGAUGCGUUUGCAGGUGCCGGUUUGCUCCGUUCUCGUUCUGAACACGAUGCACUACAGCCUUCGUUCUCUGAAAAAAUGUGAGCUAUUUGAAAUGCACUGAAACAGCCACAGAGUCACAAACUCUGACCACUAGAGGGCGCAAGAGUUCCCCCCUGCACCUUUAGGCCAUAAGAACUCAAACACUUUCUGGGAAAUAUAAUUACUUGGUUUUGAUUCAAACAAUAUAUUCAAUCUAAACCUAAAGCACUGUUCGAGAAUUGUAUUUCGAUGGUCACAAGACGCAACAAAGACAUUUUUUGGGGAGGGAAAAUGAAAAUAUUGUCUAGAUUUGACAUAACGAGCAUUUACGUUGCUUGUGUGUGGUGAAAUAGUUUUCUGCUAGUUGUAAAGAGGGGUUUGACAUUUGUGCCUAUUGUCAUGCGAACACUUAAGUGUGCGUGUUGAAAAUAAUUUCGCAAGGUCUUAAUUCUGUGUUCUAAAUAUAUAUAUAUUUCAAAUAUCAAAGUUAUAAUUUCGAAAUGGCCAAAGCUUCUCUUUUUAUAUGAAGAUUUGGCAUGUUUGUAUUGAGAAAAGCAAGUAUUUUAUUUUGAUAUUUUCGAGGACAGUUCGAGACCUUGAACGUGGUUGGCCAGGUUUAUUUAAGCACAUUUUAUCUUUACCUGCGGUGCAAUGGCAACUUUGCUUUUCACUACAGUGGAUUGUGUUGCAGGUUUUUAAAUGUGCUUGGUUUGGUUAAAUAAGGACUGUAAAUUGACACUAAUGGGGGUUUACUGCUUAAAGCUAAACCCAAAAAACUUGAGCGUAUUCGUUACACUUUUUUUUAUAGAUUUAUGAAGCUGUACUGUAUGGAUGAGGUUUGCCUCAGAGUUUACGUUUACUGUAUUUCAUAUUUCAAAUGUUUAAGAAUCUGUACUGAAAAAAAAGUCAAAUUAAUCUGAUCACAUUUGUAUUUUUUUGGCAAAGUGUCCCAUUUGUGUCAAAAUAUUAGCAAUAAAUGAAAAACAAACCCA